UUUCUCCUAUUUCCAAACUGAGACGUUAUCUCCUAUCACAGUCCGACUCCAACUCAAAUACCCAAUCGUGUGGACUCACACGUGCGUGCGUCUUCGUCUUCCUCUGAAAAUCAAACCAGCCCUGAAAGAUUCUGCUAUUCCCAGAUUUCUGUUACUGGGUUCGAUUCUUACAACCGUCUGUUCCUACCUCGAUGAUUGGUUAUUCCCAGAUUUCUCUCUCUCUCGCUCUCUACCUUCGAUGGGGGUUUCGAGAUGGUCGAUGCUAUAGCUGAAGGGAUAGCUUUGAGCAGUGUUUCAUUCAAAGAUGUAGAUGCAGUUACGCCGAAAACAGCAACCGAGUCACAGCUGAUAACAUGAAAGAAAGGCACAUUUCAGCUUUAAAUCUCUGUGUUAAUAUCCAUCCCUAAGCUACUUGGAUCACUUCUUUUCAGCCCUAUGAAAUACUUUCUUUGACCAUACAACUGUUGGCUGUGACGUGUUUGCCCCUUGUGGUGAAAACAGAGGAGUUUAUUGUCCCACACCCCCUUGAUUUGCAGGAAUUGCUGCUUAGGAGAUUUGCUGCUUAGGUAUGAGGAGAGUGAUCUUAGUGAAGCAAAACCAGUCAAACAGUGACGGAUUGUGAAUAUUAUAUAUCUCCCUUAUAAAGAUUUUGAGCUUACAAGAAAUGUGAUCAUGCAGUUCUAAUGGGGUUCCUUAAUAUGAAGUAGACAUGUUCAGCAUGGAGUUUUGUGUAAGGUUUGAAUUUUGUUAUUUUGUUACAUAGGUUCCUUUGUUGGAAUUUUGGUUGAGGUGUAAAAUCGACUGGGGAUACAUACUCAGGAAGACUCUUUCAUUUUAGAUACUGUGCAUCCCAGCAAGACGGCCCACUUAGUAUGUUGAAAGAGAUAGGAGUGUUUUCUUGAUGCUUUUCUUUUUACUGCUGUAAGCCUUGCUAAGCUGCUAGCUCUUAUAUUUCUUAUGGGAUUCCCAGUACAAAUAAUUUGAUAUUGAUUUAAAUUUUCAUU